ACGAACGCUGGCGGCAGGCUUAACACAUGCAAGUCGAACGCGCCCUUCGGGGUGAGUGGCAGACGGGUGAGUAACGCGUGGGAACAUACCCUUCGGACUGGAAUAACNGGGGGAAACUUCAGCUAAGACCGGAUACGUGCGAGAGCAGAAUGAUUUAUCGCCGAAGGAUUGGCCCGCGUCCGAUUAGCUAGUUGGUGUUGGUAAUGGCUCACCAAGGCGACGAUCGGUAGCUGGCUGAGAGGAUGACCAGCCACAUUGGACUGAGACACGGCCCAAACUCCUACGGGAGGCAGCAGUGGGGAAUAUUGGAC
rnacentral:rRNA from 1 species